AACGAACGCUGGCGGCGUGUCUUAAGCAUGCAAGUCGAGCGGCAAGGGCAGCAAUGCCCCUAGAGCGGCGGACUGGUGAGUAACGCGUGGAUGAUCUACCUCGGGGCUGGGGAUAGCCAUUAGAAAUAGUGGGUAAUACCGAAUACGUUCGCUAGACUGCGGUUUAGCGAGGAAAAGCGCUUCGGCGCUGCCCGAGGAUGAGCCCGCGUCCCAUUAGCUAGUUGGUGAGGUAAGAGCCCACCAAGGCGAUGAUGGGUAGGCGGCCUGAGAGGGUGUACGCCCACACUGGGACUGAGAUACGGCCCAGACUCCUACGGGUGGCAG
rnacentral:rRNA from 1 species